AUUUAAAACAAAAUUUGUGAUGUUUUUAAAUCAAUGAGUUAAGACUGAAUUAAAGUUGGUGAAACACGACGCCUCGUUUUUAUAGAUGAAGAAAGACUAGGACUACAGUGAGGUUCGUGAGGAAUACAGCGAGAUAAAUGCGGCAAUGAUGGAAUUUUUUUAAAUGUUAAAGGAAAAGAUGUUUCCAAGAAACCAUGCUUAAAUUAUAUUUUCUUACCUUGUAACGAAAAUUGAACCAAAGUUAUCGUUCCAUCGUCAGCUCCCACAGCUAAUGUUGUACCGUCUCCAGUCCUACGUUACAGAAAAAUUGUUUGCUUAGAUUCAAAAAUAUAAAUACCAAGCUAAAUCCGUAACAGAGGCUUGCUCAUCAAUAAAGCGAGGCUUCAAAAGCAAUAUACAAGAAGCUGCCAAUUUAUCGUUUGAGACGUAAUUGACUUUCCAGAAUGACAAAGCUCCAUCCACGGAUGCUUCAAUAAGAGUUAAGACUUUAUUUUUUUUUGAAACACGAAAUUAUUACCUUGCGCAUAAAGUGUAAAUUCUGUUGUAGUUGCCUCAUUAGAAUGUACAGUGAUUGAAUCGUUUGUAAUACCGAUAGAUUGGUUAGUUUUUGUUUCAUUUAGAAUGUAUUUAUUAAAAACAACAGGGCAAAAUGCCUGCAAGUUUGAAUAUAAACAAAAGAAAAGGUUAUACUGACAUAUCACACGAUAAAACAAUA